GCCAGAAUGGCUCAGUUGGUAAGAAUAUGAGACUCUUAAUCUCAGGGCCAUGGAUUCAAGUUGGGCAAAAAGAUUCCUGCA